GAUAUAUUCCCUCCGUUCCGAAUUACUUGUCGCGGGUAUGGAUGUAUCUAGAUAUAUUUUAGUUCUAGAUAUAUACAUUCAUUUCUGUGACGAGUAAUUUGAAAUGGAGGGAGUACUUA
rnacentral:pre_miRNA from 1 species